rnacentral:lncRNA from 1 species
AGUCAGUCAGUGCAACAUACUUAAUCUUGUACUUGAUCUGGGUUAGCAGCUUUAUGAUCCUGUCUGCUUGUCUACUACAUUUCUGGAUAUUUGGCUCAGUUCAGAAGGGUCAUCUUGGAAUUUUAAGCAAUGUCAUUAGAAGUUGUACCCCAGAGUACGUGGUAUGUGGUUCCCUGAGACAGUCCCCUUUGUUAUUGUUUUGUUUAUUUGUUUUUUGAAAUGGAGUCUGACUAUAGUGCCAGGGCUGUCCUCAAACUCAUGGGCUCAGGCAAUCCUUCUGCAUUAGUCUCCUGGGUGGUUGGGCCUACAGGUGUGUGCCAUCAUGCCCCAGACCAAGGGAGACAAUCCAUUUUUCUUAAAGAUGAAGCAGUUAAAUUGAACUGUUUGCAGUAGUUUUCAGGAAAGCAAUAACUGCUUGAGAAUAAAAAAAAAAAACUUAAAAUGGCCAUAGUUGAACAUCUAUUGAGAGUUCAUUCUGAAAAUAACACAGUUGACUUCAUAGUUUAGCUCAAUGGCAGAGCACUUGCCUAGCAUAUAUACAAAGUCCUAAGUUCAGGUCCUCGUAGCAUACCCACACAAAAUAAUACAAUGGGUGAGGUAAUUUGGUUGUGUCUAUGAUGAAUGACAUUUUAAAAUAAUAACUGGAAUUAUGACUUAUCACAUAACACUAUCAUGUCAUAUCAGGUGAAGUAAUUCAAGGAUAUAUCCUGGAAAACAAGGGUAUCAACAGAAUUCUAGCAACUUUGUAUAAUAUUUGAAAUAGAACAUUUACCUAUACAAAUACAUCCUAGAGAAGGGGAAAACCUCUCUUCUUGUUAGAUGGUGUUUUUCAUGCAUUUUUACCCUUCAGGUAAA